rnacentral:sRNA from 1 species
AACCCGCCUAGGCUGAUCACCGAAAACGAGAACCUUACUUGCUGGCGGGUUUUCUUUCAUAAGGA